GGUUACAAUAGGAAAGGCACCAACAAGCCCAUCUUAUCGGAAGUUCUGUCUCUCUGGCCACAUUCUCUAGAUGGCCCUGCAAGGAGUUGCCAGACAAAUAUUCACAUUUAUAAGGAAAAUCUCCAUUUGUAAAGAUAAGGAAACUGAAGGCCAGAGGUCUUGAAUAACUCACCCAAUGUCAUAAAGCUGGUCAACGACUGAGUCAAAACGAAGACCCAGCCUUUUGGACUUCAAGAGUUAAUACUCAUAACCCUGUGGCCUGCAUGGGAUCCAGAUGUGCCUGGUGCUUCAGUCAGGGUCAAGGAGGAGUUGAGAGCUCUGUGGACCAGCUGUGAUGUGAAGCUGCUACAGAAGAGCCAUGACUCCAGCCAUGACCAUUCUCUGUUCACCAGACUAGAACCUGGACCAGAUCAGCCACUCCAGAGCAGAGACCAACAAGAAUCCAGAGGACACCCAGCGGAUCUGAGGCCUCCUUUCCCUCACUGCCACAAGUCAUGCAAGCAGGCCACCAUGUACCCAGGCACCAUUUUAGAAAG